AGCGGGAGAGGUACUACUUGUAACAGGUGUGCAUCAUGCGUGAAUAUAAGCUAGUCGUUCUCGACUCAGGAGGUGUUGGGAAGUUGGCUCUGACUGUACAGUUUGUUCAAGGAAUUUUUAUUGAAAAAUAUGAUCCUACGAUAGAAGAUUCUUAUAGAAAGCAAGUUGAAGUAGAUGCACAGCAGUGUAUGCUUGAAAUCUUGGAUACUGCAGGAACAGAACAGUUCACAGCCAUGUGAGAUCUGUACAUGAAGAACGGACAAGGCUUUGCUCUGGUUUACUCCAUCACAGCACAGUCCACAUUUAAUGACUUACAAGAUCUAAGAGAACAGAUCCUUCGGGUUAAAGACACUGAUGAAGUUCCAAUGAUUUUGGUUGGUAAUAAAUGCGACUUGGAAGAUGAAAGAGUUGUAGGAAAGGAACAAGGUCGGAACCUAGCAAGACAGUGGAACAACUGUGCAUUCUUAGAAUCCUCUGCAAAGUCCAAAAUAAAUGUUAAUGAGAUCUUUUAUGACCUAGCGCAGCAAAUUAACAGAAAAACUCCAGUGCCUGGGAAGGCCCGCAAAAAGUCAGCGUGUCAGCUGCUUUAAUGUACUGAAUGCAUUGUAGCUCUGAGCCAGGCCUGAAGAAGUGUUGCCCA